rnacentral:lncRNA from 1 species
AUGAGGACGAGGACGGGGAUGGGAACGGGGACGGGGAUGGGAACGAGGACGGGGCCGGGGACGGGGCCGGGGACGGGGUCGGGGACGAGGACGGGACCGGGGAUGGGAACGGGGAUGGGGACGAGGACGGGGACGGGGACGCGGGCGCCCCCCCAGGGGCCGAGGCGGGCCAGGUCCAGCGACCACCGCCCCCCCCCCGCGGUCCCACCCGUCCGGCCGCCGGUCCCCGCAGCAGCAGGCGCGGGCGCACACGGCCAGGCGGGCACGUCUCCGCGCUCCCCGCCCCAAGCCCCGCGCCCUCGGCCCCGCUGCACAGACGACCUUGCGGCCCCGCCCGACCCCGCCGGAGUCACCGGAGCCCGGGCCCGGGAGCCGGCGGGGCGGAGCGCGGCCGCGGCGGAGGGGGGCGCCCCGGGCCCUCGCUGCGGGCGCUGUCCCCCGGGGCGCGCGGCCGGAGCCCCGCCCUGGGCCCCCCUCCCCUCCCCCCCGCCCCGAGCGGCUCCGAGUCGCGGGGUCGGCGGGGCCGGCGGGGCGGCGCGGCGGGCGGGCGGGCGGGCGGGAGCGCGGUCACGCACCCGGGGAGCGGGCGCCCCUCCGUCCCCGCGCGCCCCCGCCCCCGCCCGCGCGCCCCCCGCGCCCCACCCCCACCGCGGCCCGCGGCUCCCGCCCAAUCAGAGGCCGCGCACGCGGCGCCGCCGCCGGGCACCCCCCGCGCCCCGGCCUGCGCCCCCGCGGCCCCCGCCCGCCGCCGCCCGGCCCGGCCCGGCCCGGCCGCUCUCACCGUCCGGGGCGCGCACCGGGCGCGCCGCUCCGCUCCGGGCCCGCAUCCCCCGGCUCCGGCUCCCGCUCCCGCUCCGGCUCCGGCUCGGGGUCCGCUCCGCAGGGCUCGGCUCCGCGGCGGCGGCGAGGCGGGAGGGCGUGCGCGCGUGUCCGUGCGCGCGCCGCGUGUGCGUGGGGCGGGAGGGCCGGCUCCGGCUCCGGCUCCGGCUCCCGGCUCCCGCUCCCCGGCGCCCCCGCGCGCCCCCGCGCCCCGCGCCGCCCAGCCCCGAGCGCGCCGCCCCCGCCCCCGCCCCCGCCCCGGGCACCCGCGCCCCCCGCGCCCCCCGCGCCCCGCGCGCCCCCCGCGCCCCCCGCGCCCGCGCGCCCCGCCCCGCCUCUCCCCAGCCCCCCGCCCUCCGCGCACCUGCUCCGCGCCCUGUCCGCCGCCUCCCCGCCGUCCGUCCGUCUGCCCGUCGCCGCCCCCGCCGCCCCUCGCAUCCCCGCAGGACCCGGGGCGCCGCCCGCCGCCCAGCCCGGGUCCGGUCCGGGUCCGGGAGCUCCGCGGGCCGCUGGGGCUCCCGCUCCGGCUCCGGCUCCGGCUCCGGCCUGGCGGCGGCUGAGCAUCGCGCCCGGGCUUAA